UGAGAGAGCGCGAGCAAGUGGUGUGUGUGAGCAGGGGGAGUACCAGAGGUGGGGGGGAGCAUCUCAAGCAGAAUCCUUGCUGGGUGCAGAGUCCGAAGCAGGGCUCGAUCUUAUGAACCUGAAGUCAUGACUGAGUUGAAACCGAGUCAGUCGCGUAACCAGCUGAGCCCCCCAGACACCCCUUUUGUUCUUCUAAAUGUUUUAUAGUUCGUACGCUUGGCUCCAUGCUCCGUUUUGAGUGUCUGAUGUGAAGCAGUGGCCCAAAUUCAUCUUUUCGGGUGUCCAUUAUUACCAACUGUCUUAGCAUGGUUUGUUGAGGAUUUUUUCCCCAAUAAAUUGUCCUGACAUCUUGGUUGGAAAGCAGCCGACCUUAAAUACACGGUUCGUAUCUGGAUUCACCAUGUGGUUUCACAGACUGACCUCACGCGUCCCCGUAUGCCAGUACCACCCUGUCUUGGUCACUGUAGCUUUGUAUGAUACUUUGUAAAAAGGGAGAGUAAGUCUUCCCAGUUUGCUUAUUUAAAAAUCAUUUGAACUAUUCUAGGUUUUGUUUGUUUCUGGAUGAACUUCAGGGUCAGUUGCCAAUUUUUGCAAAGCGGUUGGCUGCAGUCGUGACUCCGAUUGAAUGGUCUGUAAGAUUUUGGUAACGGAAGUUGCUUCUAGAAGAGGAGGAGGAAGGAAAGGAGGCGAUGCCCAUGACACGCGCUUCUCUGUGGUCUGAACGUGGCUGAGCGGCAGGAACGAAGGCGCAGGGAAGCCGCCCAGCGAGCAGCUGCAGGCAGCUCGGGUCAGUGGCCCUGUGCAGGGGGUCGAGGGGGGAGGCAGGGGUGUGGGUAGGCAGGAGACGGGCAAAUGCAGGGAGGAGCUCGAACCCGAGGUGGUGGGUGUGACGGCAGCCUGUGAGGACAGAGAGAAUGAAGGGACUUGACCUUGGGACCAUGAAGCUGAAGACCCGACCGGUCACGGUUGGCGAGGUUGGGGGGGUGGGGCGUGUCGUGGUUCGGAAUGAGCCUCCCGCCUUCCGGGGCCGAGGGUGACCAGCCGACCUCACGGAGGACUGGGUCAGGGCAAGGGUCGGGUUCUGAGGGAGCCGUGCGGGCGGCCUCGCGUGGGGGAAGCGCACUGUGCGGGGCACGUGCUGAUGCACGUCCACGGACCAUCCCCGUCGUGGCCGCUCCCCAGCUAAAGCGCUACAGCAUCAGGUCCUGCGGGGUAGCGGCCGCCCACACGUGAGGCGCUUUACACCCACCAUGGGGGUCAGUGCUCACCAAGGCCCGGACCUUCCAGGGCAGAGGACACCAGCGGGCUGGGGGCUGCGGGGCCUGGAGGCGGCCGGUGAGCGGACGUAGGGGCGCGGACGCGAGUCCUCCCACGGGGCUGGGUCCGGGAACGCAGGGCCACAGCUGACCGGAGUCACCGUUGCCUCAAAUCCCCGCCGGCCGGCGCACACGAGCGUGGGCAGGACGGCAUCCCUCCUGCCCUCCGUCUGCGCGGCGCCAGGUCCUUGGAGGGAGAAUGUCAGGGCGGAUCUCAGUCUCCUGACCUGUCGGUCUGGAAGGUAGAACUAGUGGACGUUUCUGCAGUCCGGCCGCUGCGGACCCCUCACAAGCAGAACACUGGAGAGACUCGAUUUGGCCGACUGAAGGCUCUUUCCGCCUUACAAAUCUCACACGACACUUUAAGAAAGACACUUUAUUGAACGGAAAGACCGUAAUUACUUACAAUCUGAGAACCCCACCUAAUAAACUGGUUUCAGGAACAAGAGGACACUGCAGGGCACUAAUGUCCGGCUUCACUGGAGGCCGGAGCGGACUCGUCCCAGCAGCGUCGGGUCUGGCGGCGUCGGGGACGGGCAGCAUCCCCCGUCCUCCGUGCGGGCUGGGACGCGGCUUAAAGGUAGGCGCAGAGCCGCUCCAGCUGCCCGGGGUUGGCGUCACUCAGGAACAGCAGCUCCUUUUUCCCUUCUUCUGUAUGAGCUAGAGCGGGGGAGACAGCGGGGGAGACACCCAGCUGGCAGUGCUGUCGGCAGCGCCGUGCGCCCCGGAAGAUUCUGUGCGCAGAGGCUACGUGCUCCAGACGGUGCUGGUAUGUGACGACCGCUCCCGGAGACCCCGCUUCUAGAUCCUUUCUCUCAGCAAGUGACUAUUCUGUCCGUCUCUGUUCCUCUGCACUCCAGCACGUCUCCCUCUGCUCCAAGAACCUCACCCGGCCUUUCAGACUUUGUCGCACGCCGACCCCCUCAGAAAUCUCCGCGCCGCGGCCCCCGGCCCACCGAUGCUGCAGCUGCCCUUCCCUCCAGUCCCUGGUGAUGUCCUCCACGGCUGCUGGCUCGCUCUCGCCCAGGGACAGGACCACCACGGCCUCUGCUCCGCUUGCCUGUGCCUGGGCCGGGGUCAAGGCUGCGGUGUGCGGCCGAAGGCGCCGUGUCCACAGAGCGGGAUGGGCGGAGCGUGGGUCUGGCCUGGCGCCGGCGGGCCUGGCUCACAUCCAGGGCUGGGCUUCGAGCCCGAGCCUCUUAUUCUAGACCCAUGUGAGGUGGUGGGAAGAAAUGCACCGUCUAGUAACGGCCCCCCCCCCCCCCACCGCCACCUUUCUUGCCGUCUGAUAGGCCAGAGAGAAGUCGAGAAAAAGGGAGAAAGACCACGCAGGCCGCUGCCGUGGGAAGACAUCAAGGCUCUGACUUGAGGGCUCCGUGAGCAGAAACUCGAGAACCAACCUUUCUCAUGCUGCAGCCAGCUGUUCUCCAGGUAGUACUGAAUGCAGCGCUCAAACUCCUCUGGGCUGUAGUUGGAGACCAGGACGGGAACAAAGGGGUCCAAGGCAUCAAAUCCUUCCUGGAGAAGGAAGAACCGUUCAGUGACGAGUCAUCAGAGUGACCUGACCUUAGCGCGACCAAGGUGCCCGCUUUCCUUCUCUGCUCCUUGCUCUCGGGCCACCCCGUGGCACACAGGCGCCACGCACGGCAGCUGGCCGCUGUCGCCCGUGGCCUCCUGCAUGGUCCUUGUGCCAGGGUGAUGAUGCCCACGGGGGAGCUGCCACCUGCUGUGCAGACAUAGUGACAACUCCUUUGUUUACAGUUCUGCCUUCAGUAGUCAAGCCACUUAGUUCACAAACAAAACAAGGGCAGUGAUAAGCCACUAAACGGCCCCCACUGAAACCAGUCCGGCCCCCACUGAAACCAGUCCGUCACCAAACCGCAGUGCAGCUUGCAAACACAACAACGAAGGGACCAGGGACCGAGCUCACUCCUGAGCAGAGCACCUGGACCAACGACCCCGCCCAGGACGACAAAAGCCCGGAGCUCGGGCUGCGCCCCACGGCCAGGCCGAAACCAGAGAGGUGAUGGCCGAGCCGGGACGCGGCUCACGCACGCAGAAUGGGGCAGAGGGGAGGCUGCGCUGUGGGUGGUAUCACCCGAACUCAAGGGUGUUUCACAGGAAUCAGGGAAUGUAGAGACGUGUGUGGGUGUGCAUGUGAGGACGCGUGCCUAGAGCAUGCGCGUGCGUGUGUGAAGGCGGGAAUCCUGUGUCCUGGGUUCUCACACUGCCCUGGGGGCCUCGAGGAGGGGACAGCCCAGACGUAGGAAGCACACAGCACUCGGGUCUUGGAGUCUAAAUCCAGCCCAUGCUCAAGACAGUGGGGGGGAAUUCAGUUCUACCUCCUGAAGAAGGCAGCCUAUUUUAUUUUUUCUAAGACUUAACUUAUUUGAUAGAGAAAAAGAUCACAAGCAGGCAGGUGGGGGGGGGGGGAAGCAGGCUCCCUGCCGAUGUGGGGCUCGAUCCCAGGACCCCGAAAUCAUGACCUGAGCCGAAGACCUUAACCCACUAAGCAACCCAGGUGCCCUAAAGGGGCCCUAUUUUAAACAUUUUGUUUUAAAGUAUGAUAUCGGGCUCCCUGCUCAGCAGAGAGCCCGCUUCCCCCUCUCCCUGCUGCUCUGCCUACUUUUGCUCUGUAUCUCUCUGUCAAAUAAAUAAAAUCUUUUCAAAAAUAUAAAAAAUAAAAGUAGCCUCCAGGGGUGCCUGGGUGGUUCAGUCGGUGAAGCGUCUACCUUUGGCUCAAGUCAUGAUCCCGGGGUCCCUGCUGGCCACAGUCCGCCUGAUGGGCCCCGCCCUCCUAGUCUGUGCGUGCUCUGUCAAUUAAAUACAUAAAAUCUUUAAAUAAAUUAAAUAAAUGAAUAAAGGUUCAAUA